rnacentral:tRNA from 1 species
GCCGGUAUAGCUCAGUUGGUAGAGCAGGGGUUUUGUAAACCUCAGGUCCCGAGUUCGACUCUUGGUGCCGGCACCA